GCUCCCUCUAAAUAUUUUUAACUCCAUAUUUAUCACUGUCUUUGCUCUUCAUUCAUUCCUGCAUCACUAACCUUUGAUCAACUUGAAGAUUAUCAUUAGAAUUUUCUUUGUGCAGGUUUAUUGACGAUAAACUCUUUUAUCGCCUGAAAAUGUCUUCAUUUCUCCUUUAUUCUUGAAGGAUCUCUUUGUUAAAUGUUGAAUUCGUUUGGCAUUAUUUCUCUUAGCCCAUUUCAUCAUCAUCUUUUGGCUUCUCAUAUUGCUAUUGAGGCUUUUUCUCACUUUUUAAAAGCCCUUCCUUUUUUGGUCUGCCUUUAAUAUUUUCUGUCUUUCGUUUUCUGCACUAUCCUGUGGAUUUCUUUUUAUCUUGCUUGACCUUAGUAUGGUCUCCUGAGUCUGUGGACUAAUUCCUUUCACCAUUUCUGGAAAAUUCUCAGGUAUCACCCCACACAAAAUUGACUCCUCCCUAUUCUCUCCUCUCCCUCUGGCACUCCAACUAGACAGAGAGUAGAUCUUCUCACUGUAUUCUUUAAGACUUUUAACUGUCUCUUCUGUUUAUUCCCUGCAUCCCAUCUUUUUAUCUUUCCACUCUCCAUUCUGCACAAUUUCAUCCAAUCUACCUUCUCAUUCACUAACUCUCUUUAACUGUAUCUAACCUGCUGUUAAACCAUCCAAUGAAUUCUAUUUAGAACAUAGUUCAUUUGUUUUUCAGUGUUGUUAAUACUAAUAUAUGUAGUCCCUGUGGGUCUGUUUUUGUUGUUUCUCACUCACGCUGUCUCGUCACCUUAAGGCCUGGUUAUCUCUGAUUGUGUACAGUAUAUUGUAAUUGCAAAUUUAUUUGUAGAAAUAAUUUGAAGCAUAAGAGGAUUUUUGUUUGCUUUUGCUAGAGACCUGAGAGUGCUUACACAUUUCAAGAUUUUGUGUCUCGGCCAUGCAUCCGACACACAGCCUGUUUAAAUAGAUGGAUGACUGGUUUAUUUCUGGUUCCCUCCUGUUCAUAGAUAUUAAUCUUUUGGGUUGCAGACUGAAGUGGGAGUUUACAAGAAGUUACCCACCUUGGUAAGCCCUGAACAUUGCCUUUUUAACUGCAGCCCCAGAAUGCCAUGGAUAUGCAGCUGUGAAUCUUAGCUUUCUCUUUAGCUUGGCAAAUACUCUCAAAACAAAAGUGGCUGUGAAUGCUGGGCUUAUUAUUCUAAGUUUGAAGCUUUCCCCAGAUCUCAAGUUGGCAAUUCCUAUCUUAUUCUUUUUUGAUUAAAAAAAUUAUUUUGGUCCAGAUGUUUUGGUUGUCUUCUGUGAGAAGACUGGUCCAAAUUACUGAGUCUUCCAUUACCAGAAGGAGAAAAAUUCCUCUAUUAUUUUUAUCUCCCAGAGACUAUAAUGGUUAAAAUUAUUUGAUAGAAUAAAGAACUAUUCUCUAUACUAAUAAAGGUAUAAGUAUACGUCUACGUAUGCGUGUUCAAUAUUGAGGGCAACAAAGGGAAGUGAAAGGAUCAAUGGGCUGGGGGAAAGGAGAUGCUGGAUUUUACACUCCCCUUGUUUCGUCAUCUUCACCAUCAUAAUAAAACAGCAAAAGCUAUCACUUGAAUAAAGCAUUACGGUUAAAAACUAUUUUCCAAUCAAAAUGGCAGUGUUGAGGAUCUUUAAACCAACCCCUCACAGACUUUGUUAACACUACUCCUCGUCUUUGCUAUGGUUAGAUACUUGUUGAUCUUAUAGAAAUGCUGUUUCCAGCGCUUUUUCAAAUUGUUCCCCCUAAGUCUUCUCACACAAAAACACAAGUUCCUCUGUUCACAUAUCAUCUGACUCAACAUGCUCAACAACACUGUGUGGCCUCAUAAUACUCAUUUUAUAGAUAGGGCAAGCGAGGCUUAAAGCAGCAGACUGCUCUAUUGCCAGUUUCUGUGAUCCAAACGCAGCGUUCUUCCUGUUCUAUCAUUUCACUUGUUCACUUUGGGUAAUCAUUUCAAGGUCAGCCCUCCUCCUCCAGCUCAAGUUUUCUUAGUGUAAAAUGAGAAGAUGAGACGACACAACCACUACAGUUCCCCCUUCUGUUCUGACGUCUUCUGGAAGAGCUGGGCCUGUUUAGCUGAUGGCCUUUGGUAGUAGUUAUGUAAGAAGUCACAGGAAGAAAAGUGGGCUGGAAGCUUCUCCUUUAGUGGGUGGGAUUCUAAGCCUCCUCCCUCUGCUGUGCUGAGGACCACCCUCAUAUCAUUUGGAAUAAAGAAUGACUUAACCACUUGCACGUGUUCCUUUACGCCCGUUUGUGGAAUGUUUUGACGGUUCUCCAUGGAGAGCAGUAUCUGCACAUCUAGACAAUUACAGCAGCAAAGGAGAGGGUUGUGAGUGAACACCUAAUAAACUUUUAUGCCUUGGAAGGAUAAGCUUUCCUUAAGAUAAGAGAAGAAGCAAAUGGAGAUCUGGAGAGUGAAAUCCUCCUCAUUCUUAGAGAAAAAUCACACAUGUUCUCACUUGAGGAUGUAUUGGAAAAAGUAUCUAGAAUUAGGAAUUCCGGAUUUAGUUAAAAUUCCUCUGCUAUUAAUUAGCUAUGUGACUUUGGGUAAGUCACAAAUCUAUUUGGAUUUUCAUUUUCUCUGUUGUAAAAUGAGGAUGAAAUGAGAUGUUGUGAAUUCUUAAAUUACUAUUCAAAUGUAAAUUUUCAUCUUUUUAUAACAUCAGUCUGGGCACUGAAUAGAUCAGUAAAGGGGGGAGCUGGGAUUCAGGUUUGCUCAUCUAAAUGGAGAAAGAAUGAAAGAGCUGGGGAGGGAAUUAAAAUCUCAGCACACUUCUCUUUGCUUCCUCUAAUAUACUUACCUCUGAUAACAAGGUUCCUUACUGCAUAGUCAUUGGAACACAGUAAAACAGUGGAAAAAAUAGAGAUUUAAGUCAGAUGACCUGGUCCAACCCCUAUCUGUGCCACAUGCUGUGUGGGUGGGAAAAUUGCCUAACCUUUCCAAAACUGUUUCUUUAACUAUAAAAUGGGGAUAGGCUUUUAGAGUACUGUUGGCUCUCCUUAUCCACGGGUUCAGCAACAAUGAGUCAACCAACCGUGGAUAAAAAAGCUUACGAUGGCUGCUCCUGCACUGAACAUGUACACAGACAUUUUUCCUUGUUAUUAUUCCCAAAGCAAUACAGUAUAACAACUGUUUACAUAGCAUUUACAUUGCAUUAGGUAUUAUAAGUAAUCUAGAGGUGAUUUAAAGUAUACAGAGAGAUGUGCAUAGGUUAUACGCAAAUACUAGUCCAAUUUAGAUAACGGACUUGAGCACCCCCGGAUUUUGGUAUCUUCAGGGGUCCUGGAACCAAUCCCCAGUGGAUAUUGAGGGACGACUAUAAUUGUGAAGAUUUCCUGAGAUAUCUAACGGUGUUUUGCAUAUGGUAGACGCUCAGUAAAUGCAAGUUCCAUUCUUUCUUUCAUAUAGGGGAAUUGCUGCAUUUAUGAAUUUAAUUUUGUUAACCUUUUAUUGAGAGUUCAUUGAAACCCAUCAGUGGAAUUAUAUAUGGAAAGGAAAAGGUUAAGUAGAAAACCUCCAUAGAACUAUUUGCUCUGUGAUAAUUAUCUAGCAGAAGUAAUGUGCCAAUUAUGCUAUAUGGAAAGGGGAGCUUAAAUAUUAACUAAGAGUGAUUUUGAAAAUUGUGUUUACAAAAAUAAUACAUAUUAAGCAACACAGCUUCCAAUUCAUUCCACUCCCCGUUUCAUUGACUCUCACCAUCUUGUAGCAACUCAAAUGUAAAAUACUCUUCCUUUCAAGCAUAUGGUUUGCUGCUUAAAAGAAAAAAAAAAAAGUAAGCCAAACAAAGUCUUAUUGGCCUUCUUCCUGCCAGCGUUCUAAUCACCCCCAUUUCACCCCAGAACAACAAUCCAAAGAGCAGCAUCCUUUAGCUGAAAUUUCAGCUUGAACGUUUCUAUAGCUUCCCAGCUGAGCUGUCAUUCGUAAGCCUUUUAAAAAUUAAUUAUUAAAACUGUUUCCAUUAGUCUUUUGUUUGGCUUUCAUGCAACCACUUUUCUUUUGCUGUUUAACAAGUAGAAAACCACCAGCAUUAGCUAUAAAUACAUGGCAGCAGACAUGGGGAGAAGGCAUAUGACUGCCGCUGGCCUGUUCCCGAGGGCUAACUCAGGCAUGACUGUAUUCUGGGAAGCGGCGUCAGGUCCACUCCUAACCUACAGGCAAAUUCCAAACCAGCCAGCUCGACGCAGGGAAUUCUCUUGUCAGUUCCUUCUACUGUCCCUCUUGAUUCGAGGUAUUGGGACACUUUGUUCACUUGGUCUCUUGGUAAAUUCCUUCUUCUGUUUGUUCAACCAUUUGCUAAAUAUUGAUUACUAACUGUGUGCCUAACACUGAAAACAGAAUAUUAAAUAAGGAUGUGUUUCUGCCCUCAGAAAGAACGCAAGUGCAGUCUGGAAGAGUUGGACAGAUAAAUUAUUGUAGUGUAGUAAUGUCUACGAUAGAGGAAUAAAAUUAAUGGUCUAGAAGCCCAGGCAAGGGUAUCAGGGAAGAUUUUUGGGAAAGAUCACACCAAGGACAAUUAAGUACCACUAAAAUAAAGGGUCAGGACAAUGCGGGAACAUUCCCAAUAGAAGAACAGCAUACACAAAGGCACGAGAAUGCAAAACAGGAUGCUCUGGUUAGGAAUGGCUAGAUUGGAGAGUUCGCUGAGGCUAGUGGCCAAAGAUGAGAGUAAAGAAGGUGGGCUUACAUUAGUGGCCUUCAAAUCGUGCCCCUCACAUGCUAGGAGGGUAACUGCAGAAGCAGCUUAGCAGGUGGGCUCAUAUAUGCCUUACGCAUUGGGCUUUGGUGAAAGAUUUUCUUUUUUGAGGAAGAUUAGCCCUGAGCUAACAUCCGCUGCCAGUUCUCCUCUUUUUGCUGAGGAAGACUGGCCCUGUGUUAACAUCUGUGCUCAUCCUCCUUUAUUUUAUAUGUGGGACGCCUGCCACAGCAUGGCUUGAUAAGUGGUGCAUAGGUCCGCACCCAGGAUCCGAACCAGGGAACCCCCAGCCACCGAAGCGAAAGGUGUGAACUUAACCACUAUGCCACCGGGCUGACCCAGAAAGAUUUCUUCUUAGAGAACAGAUUCCACUAUAAAAAUAUUUGAAAACUGCUGGCCUAGAUAAGUGUCUGUGCUAAGUCGAGAAGUUUGAUCCUUAUCCUCAAAUCAAUGUUCAAAAGGUUGAGUGGUAGAGACUGCCUCAUUCUCCACAAGACAGUGAGUCUCAAUAGGAAUGCAUUCAGAUCAUGGAAAACCUGUGUACUGUUUUAACAAUACGAACAAGAAACGAAAUCUGAUCAUACUGGCUGGUGGAAUAUUGGUUAAAAUAUUGCAAAACAUUACUGUACAGGUAAACCCAGUGUGGAACAUACUGAAGGUGCAGAAAUGUACUUAUUUGGUAGCUCACAAACCCUCCUGACUGUGGAAACCAGCAGGAAAUGAGCAAGUGGGGAGAACUGACCAUCCAUGCUUUUAUUAAUCUUGUCAUUAAAAACAUGAAAGUUGAACACUUACAACACUCACAGUGCCUUAUGUCCAGGUGAGGCUUGCUUUGGCUCCAGUUACCUUUUAUUUGGAAAGUGUGGCUACAAGGACAUGAUUUAGUUCAAUUUAAAAAUCAUUGCCAAAACAAAUGAAAAAUAUAUAAAUACCUAUUUUAUAAGCCUUUUAAAGUUGGGGGGAAAAACUUUUAAAACCAUAUUAGAACAUGUUAAAAUAAACUCCCUAUAACAAUCUUUGCAGUAGUAAUGUCAGUGCUGUCUGACCAUGAAACUCGUCAUCUAUACUGAUCUACUUUUCAAAGUAUUUUUAUAUCGUUUUAUACCCCCUACCCAAAAGGUAGGACCAAUGCUGUGACUGAGGUUCAAUGCAGCCACAUAAAUACAUUUAAGCAGUGAACUGUGUUAAGGAGAAACGUAUAGCACCCAGGUCUACUGAAUUUGACUCGUGUUUCAAAACUCCAACUCCUGUCCCCCCACCUGAAUACCUACUUCAAGGAUUUUAAUAUCGAGUGCCAUCCACAAAACAUUGAGUUCUCUGAUGUGGUGUGUGUACAGUAUUAUGGAUUACGUCAUAGGCUUUAUCUUGACCUUGGGGUUGGGCCUUGUUCUUGAGCUCUGGAAAUGAGAACCUUCCACCAUUCCCAGGUUUCUUCUUCAGCUCUCCAUGCUGUCUCAGUAACUCCCCCAUACACACACCCCUAUUUCUUGUCCUGGGACCAAAUGACUGCCAGAGGCAGCACAGCCAGAGCGAGAGUUCUCAUUUCCAAGAUGCAGAGUUUGGCUCAACGAGGUAGGGCAGCCAGUAAAUGGUAACCAUAGAUACCACUCCCCCUUGCUAACAGCAUUCCUUCUUCCCCACCUACCAGAUCCUAGCUAUCCUUCACCAGCCCCUUCAAGUCCCAUUUCAAAAAGCCUCCCUAACUGCUGCAGCCCACACUGGUGUCUUCUUUCACUUAACUCCUGUAACAGUGUUGCUCUUCACCAGACUACUUAACGCUCAGAUUCCAGCUUCCUUGUAUUGUUGGUUGUUUUGUGAAGAAUAUGUUCUGAAGCCAGAAAUAGUGGGUUCAAAUGCUAGUUCCAGACCUAUUAUUUAACUUCUCCGAGCCUGUUUCCAUAUGAGGAAUGAGGAUAACACCUUGUCAGGCAAAUGUGAGGACAAUUAAUCUAUUAAGUGCUUAGCUUCCCUCCACCUAACACAUAGUAGGUGCUCAAUAAAUGUUGAACUGAAAAAAAGGGCAGGAACGAGGUCUUAGUUUUCUCUCAUCUCUCAUGUAACCUGGUAUGGGCUACAAAGAAACAGCUGAAUGACUGUUAGUUAUUUUUUCUUAUUUAUAGCUGACACAGCUCACCUCUGGUCUCAGGAAACGAGAGAGUAUGUGUUCUUUCCCUUCACGAUUAUAAUUAGCCCAAGUGUGUGUCAUCACAGCCAGGGUGAUAGUAAUACUUUUUAUAAGCUUCAUUUACAUAGUAUUUUAACAUUUAUGAACAGCUUUUUUGGACAUUUAUUGUCUCAUUUACUUCUUUCAGUAACUCCCAGCAUGGGGGUAGGGAAGGUGUCAUUGAACUGUAUUUACUAGAAACCUGAGUUCUGUGUGGUUAAUAUUACUAGCAGCACUUUUACGUUCAUUUACAGUUUACAAAGCAUUUUAAAGACCACUUUCUUAUCUGGUUACUUAGGAUCGUAAUAGUAUUUAAAAUUAAAUACUCUUAAAAUCUUCUAUAUAUCAGUGGACACUAAACUUGGUGUGAUCUCUAUGAUUGCUACAAAGAGCAUUUUUUUUUUAAAGAAAAUACAAAUUAAGUGUCUUGCCUUCAUCGUAAGCCUGCAGUGGAUUUAGUGGCCUCCAGCAUAAAGGAAGCGAAGCCCUGAGAAGGCAGUGCUUUACUAUUUGCAAAACCGCUAGCUGUGCGAAGAGUCAGAAAGUUUCUCUCUUCCUCACCUAAUCUCUCAGCGUUCCAUCUACAGAGCCACAAAAGUGAGUGGGAACUUGUAUGUCUCCGGAUUGUAUAGCAUAGCACUUGUGUCUUUAUGUUUAAAGAAUCAGCUUUCCCGUUUCCACAGUUCAAAAUAACUGCACCUGGCAGCACUAAGGCUUCCUAUGGAACGGCCUCUCUAAACGACAUGCGGGACCUUGGGCUAUUCACCUACUAAGGCCUGUUUCUUAAUUUAGAACAUGAGGAAUUUGUUUGACGCAGCUGAGGUCUUCGGCACAAUCAUUCUAUAAUUUCAAGGUAAGUUGAUUUAAGGAAAUACAUGAAAAAUAUUAGUAAAACCUCCCUUUCAUUUGUUGUAUGAGAUAUGAUGUUUUUCCGCUAAAUCUCUUUUUAAGAAUGAAAACAUGACAAAUAAGUCUUACUUGCCAUUCCAUGUUUUCCCCAGAGUUCACCACUAUCCUGAAGUUUGUGGAUAUUCUCCCUAUGGGAUUUUUUAUGUUUUACAUUUACUCAUAACAACAGCUUAAGUUACAUAAAUAGUAUCAUACUGUACUAUCCUUCUGUUUCUUUUUUCCCUUAGAACAGUUGGAAAUUUAUUUAUAUUAGUAUUCAUCCAUUUUAACUGUUAUGAUUUCAAUGUAUGAUAACAUAGGUUAUCUAUUUGGUACAUUUAUGCAUGAGUUGGCAAAAGUUUUCUGUAAAGGGCCACACAGCAAAUAUUUCAGGCUUUGCAGGACACAUACGGUCUUUAUUGUAUAUUCCUUUUUUAAAAAAAAAGGAUAAUCCCAUAAUUAUGUUGUGUUGAGGUCCCCAAGACGACCCUCUAGUUCAAGACUCAUAGAACUCAGAAAAGUGAUUAUGCUGACUGUUACAAUUUAUUAUAGCAAAAAGAGAGUUUAAACUCAGCAAAAGUAAAAGGUAGGUAGGGAAGAGUCCACAAGACCAGGCACAAGCCUCCAACUGUCCUAAGUAAGAGAUGCCGGACAACACGUACGGAAUACUAUCAACCAGGGAAACUCACCUGAGACUUCACGUCCAGGGUUUUUAUUGGGAGUUGGUCUCACAGGCAUAGAGCACCCUCAUGGCUGACCCUACUCGGUUUCCAGCUCCUCCAGAGAUCAAACUGAUACCACAUGGUGCAAGGCCCCCACCACGAAUUGUGGUUAGCAUAAGCUAUCUGGUAUGGCUCAAGGCCCCAAGUAAACAAAGGCACUCACAUGAAGCAGGAUAUUCCAAGAGCUUAGAGGUUAUCUCCCAGGAGCUGGUCAAGGGCCAGACUUAUCUUUGGAAUGUGCAGGAUUUGCAUAAGCCAGUCCUGCUAAGUCAAUUCUUCACUGUACACAUGUCAAAAGCAUUCUUAGUCCACGGGCCAUGCCUGUAUUUGACUGGAGACUCUAAUGCUAGGAUCAUGUGACUUUUUUUUCCUAUUACCUCAAACAUUGAUGUGAGAAACAUCUCUGUGCAUAUCUUAUUGUAUACAUACACAAUAUAUUGUGGGAAUGAUGACAUAGGGAACUUCCUUUAGAAAUAAAAAUAUGAAAUUGGAAACAUGCAAAAUGUCACUCUCUUUAAAAGGAAAUCAAUCUAUAAUGCUAAUCACUAGGACUUAAAAAUUAUUUAUUUAGAUGCAAGACUACAAAAUCUCAGCCUUUCUUAAUAAGGAAACUGCAUUUGUGAUGUGGUGUACUAUAUAUAAAAUCCAUGUUAGAUACCAUUAAAGGUCUCAAGAAAUAUUAAACUUGAGUAUCACGUGCAUUUUAUCAUAAGUAACAAAUUGCUCUGUUUUUUCUGCUAUUACAUAUAAACAGAAAAAAAUUUUUGUCAAAUUGUUUUAUUACACAUAUUUUCUCCUAAUCUGAACUGUAACCUUCAUAUGAAUGAACGUCAUGGUUACAAAAUAAGCCUUAGAUAAUUGUGGAAAGUCAAAACAUGACCAACGUAGGAGACAGUGGUAGUUCACAAACUGUACUUACUGUUAAUAUCUUCCAAUGGAGCUGAAUUUAAAAUAAAAUAUUGGACUGUUUUUCCAUCUAUAGCUAAGACUUUGUUUUACAAUUAAAACUUCAAUUUGAUUUUCCAGUGUUUGAAAAAAACAAUUCAUUCUUCUUUCUUCCUGUUACAAAUGUCUAUGACAAGUUUCAAGUGUUCAACAAUUUCCAAACCUAAGUAUGAUGCAGAACUUUAGCUCUGUAAAAAGACUUAGAUGGGGAACUGUUAUAAGCAAUGUGUAAUUUCAACUUUACUAAAGUGAUGAAAAAAAGUGUAAGCUGUUUUGUCAAGCUCUUUGCCAACCCUUGGUAUUAUGUGACAGGGUAUGAAACAGUAUCUAAUUGUUAUUCAUUUGCAUUUCCAUUUUUCAGACCUAAAACAUGUUUGUUAGUUAACCCUUUGGUCCUCUUUUGUUUUCCCCUUAAUUAAUCCUUUAUAUAAUCUGGACACUUUUCCCUUCAACUUUUCAGUGUGGCCUAUUACAGGAAAAGGUUUUCCAAUGUUAAACCAUCCUCCCAUUCUGGCAAUAAAAUUUACUUUGUCAUAGUGAAUGUGCAUUUUUUAAUUGGUGAAUUUGAAAUGCUAAUAUUUAGGCUAUUUCAGCCAUGUUCAUAAGAGAGAUUGGCCUACACUUCUCUCUCUCACAUAUCCCAUUUGACUUCAGAAUCAAAAUUGAGCUUUCCCUUUUUCCUAUUCUCCAGAACAGUAUUUAUAAAGAUUACUUUUUUCUUAGAGGUUUAACAGACCGUACUAUAAACCAUCGAGAUCUGGUGGAUUCCAUGGAGCAGAUUUUUAAAAAUAGAUUUAGAUUUAUUUAGUGAUAUUAUAUAUGCACACACGCAAUGAACUACAUUUAAAAAUAUUUAUCUAAAGUUUCAAAUUUAUCCAAUAAAUUCAUAAUAGCUUUGUCAUUUAAGAAAGUCUUAACUAUAUGUUUAUUCAUAGCUUAUUUCUUUCCUGAUAUGAAGUUGUCUUUCCUAUUGAAAAAGAAUUUUUUCGAGACAGAGAGCCCAUAAAUUCACACAAUAUGGUCAAUUAAUUUAUGCCAAAGAGCCAUGAAUAUACAAUGGAAAAAGGACAGUCUCUUCAAUCAAUGGUGUUGGGGAAACUGGACAACCACAUGCAAAAGAAUGAAAAUGGACCGCUGUGCUACACCAUACACAAAAAUUAACUCAAAAUGGAUUAAAGAUUGGAAUGUAAGACAUAAACCAUAGAACUCCUAGAAGAAAACAUGGGCAGCAUGCUCUUUGACAUUGGUCUUAGGAACGUCUUUUUGGAUAGGUCUCCUCAGGCAAGAGAAACAAAAGAAAAAAUAAAUAGGACUAUAUCAAACUAAAAAGCUUCUGCACAGCAAAAGAAACUAUCAAUAAAAAGACAACCUGCUUAUUAGAAGAAGAUAUUUGCAAGUCAUAUAUCCAAUAAGCAGUUAAUAACCAAAACAUACAAAAAACUCGUACAACCCAACAAGACAACCUGAUUUAUUUUAUUCCGUCAUUUUGAAAAUUGUCUCCGUGUCUGAUAUACACAUUAGUAAAUUUUUUCCCAAUGGCAUUCGAAUAGAGGCCCGAGAGGUCAGAAACUUCUGUGUUUCAUUCAUUGCUUUACCAUCAGGACCUUACUGUGCUUGGCACAUUAAAGAGGUACUCACAAUAAUUUUUAAGCGAAGCAUGGUCAUGGUGAGAGCAAGACUGGAGCAUACACUUCCUCUUUCUCAUGGAACUCUUCCUCUCCCUCCAUGCUGUCUUAGGGUCAGAAGGUGCUUUGUAGUUCCCCAGGCUGCUGUGUAGAGCUCUGCUUCCCCCUUCCUGAGGCGCAGCACCUUCUAGGGUCUUGGCUUCGUGCAGAGGUCUCAGUCCCAGCUUCCCUGCAUUUUGUCAGGUCAGAUCCCUUACUGGUACAGUCCCAGUGUUCACAGGUGAGACUCACAGCCAAGAUUACCAACCCCUGGACAGAGCAGCUUUCAGCUCUGGAGUUUACUGCUCUGGCUUUGUUUUCUCUUCAUUUCUGGUAGCUGGGAUUUUCUUUUGCAGUCAGCUGUGUGUAUCUAUUAUGUCUUAUCUGACAUCUCUAUGAAUUUGGAGUGAUGGGAUAGUGGUGGUAGGAGGAUUUACGUUAGUUCAGUCUACCACGCCACCAAGAUUCCUGGAAACAAACUCUAAGUGAGAGGGGGUUGGGAAAACCCCACCAUCUUGUUUAAGCUACUGUUUUGGAGUUUUCUGUUAUACUGCAGUCAGGUUCAAUCACUAACUGAUACACUCUGAAAAACAGAUCAAAUGAAGAAAACACAAACUGAGAGUUGGAAGAAAAUGUUUAUAUUGUAAAAAGGUAUAAAAGUAGAAAGCCAGUAAGAACAGGGAGAGAAGAAAUUACAAAUGGCGGAUUAUGAGAGGUUGCUUUAAAACAUGGUAACCAGGAGAUGAUUUGGACAAAACCAUAGGUAAUGAAGGUUUAUAUACCAUAACCACUAGAUGGAAAGGCAUCUAUAAUUAACCAAUUUUAUUUGUAUUAGCAGUACAGUCAUAUGUUGCUUAAUGACAGGGAUACGUUCUGAGAAAUAUGUCAUUAGGCGAUUUUGUUGUUGGGUAAAUGUCAUAGAGUGCACUUACACAAACCUAGAUGGUAUAACCUACUAUGCACCUAGGCUAUUAUGGUACUAAUCUUAUGGGACCACCAUCCUAUACACAGUUUGUCAUUGACUGAAACGUUGUUAGAUGGCGUAUGACUAUAUUGAGACUAAUUCUCUCUACACUUCCACCUUUCAUAAAAGAAUGCAAUCAAUGAAGACCUAGAUGGCUCCAAUGUUUUCAGUCCGUAUCUCCAGUUAUCAGUGAUUUUUCUUCUCCCCAAAGCCCCAGUACAUACUUGUGUAUUCUAGUUGUAAGUCCUUGUAGUUCUUCUGUGUGGGAUGCCACCACAGCAUGGCUUGAUGAGGGGUGCUAGGUCCAUGCCCAGGAUCUGAACUGGCAAACCCCAGGCCACCAAAGCAGGGCGUGUGAACUUAACCACUCGGCCACAGGGCCAGCCCCUAUCAGUGAUUGACUACAGGAAAGUAGGAUGAAGUAGAGACCUGCCUUCUUGUGUUAAGAAAAUAGUAAACCUUUAAUUACGCAACUUAAUUCUUGAGUAUGCUUUUGCCAUUUGAUCUCUGUUUACUCUUCCCUACAACAUUAGCAUGAUGGAAGUAAAAUCAGGUGGUCAUCAUUUAACAUUUUAGUUCUGUUUUCAACACCUAAGCAAGGGUACAACUAAUUUAAACAACAAUAUUUCUAACAGUAAACAAGUGUGUGUAUGGUAAAAUAAGUUGGCUUUUCUCAAUUUUAAAGGGUAUAUUAUCACCUGAUACUAACUCCAUUAAAGAUGAGUUGUGUGUCUUCCGUUAAGCAGGCACCGUGCUAGUACUUUAGGAAUCUCUCACAUCAAUCACUGUCACAACUUUAGGGAAGACUUGUGCUCUGGUCUAUCCAGAGCACCCUCACAGCACUCUCCAACCCUUCCCCAAACAGCCUAUUUUUCCUUACUGUUACAACAUGUAACAUGAAAUGGAUGUCAUGCCCACUUUGUAGAGUCGGAGGGACAAAACAGUUCGAUCAUUGUCAUAUGGCCAGAAAGUAGCAGUGCUAUGACACGAACCCAGGGCUUUGGUUCCAAGAUCAACAUUUUUAUAGCGCCAUUAUGAUGGCUUUAUAAAAUUUCUCAUCAGUGCACUUUCAUUUAUAUUUAUAGGACCAUUUUCUCCAACUGGCAGUCACUUUCUUAAUUUUCUUAUUAAAAGAAAAACACUGUGAAGAAGUAAAGUAAAAAAUGAUCUAAUCCUUAGGAGUACAAUGGCAAUUGCACAGCUGUCAAAAAAAAAAAAGUGGUUUGAGAACAUUCCUACUUGUCACGUUUGCUCUAGGAUUAUCUUCCAUUGAGCGGGGGAGGGGAUCCUAUUUAAAAACAAGAAUACAAGUUUAUUCAACAAAAAUUUAACACGCCUAACACUGAAUUUAAGAAGAUGAAUAAACCUGUCUCUGUCCCCAAGCGGCUCAAAAUGUAAGAGGGGAAGCAGACGUGUAGAUAAGUUAGUGAUAAAUUUAGCACAAGUGACAGUGCUAAAUUAGAAGUGAGUACAAGGCAUGUUCAUGGCACAAAGAAGAGGCCAGUUUUACCCAGAAGGUCCAGGAUCCAGACACUACUGACCUGACAUCUGAGCUGAGCUUUGAAGAAUGGGGAUAUUUCCGGAGUGCUUGGUAUGUGCCAGGCAGUGUGCUAAGUAAUUUAUCUGUGUUACCUAAUUAAAUUCUCAUUACAAUUUAGGAGACGGGAAACCCCAUUUUACAGACAAGUCCAGGUGGUUUAACCUAGAACACACUUUGCUAAAUAUUGUGCUCGACUGACACACACAAACACACAAGAAGAGAUCGCUGGAUGGACUCGCGGAGGUAAAGAGACUUUUAACGCUAUAAUGUUGUCAUUUACAUACAAGGAAUAUGAGGUCAGCAUGCUUCAGGAAUUAGCCAAAGGUCACAUAAUAGACUACAUCCUUUAUUCUCCCAAGGGCCUAUCUGUUGUAUGAUCACUUUUCCCCAAAAAUGUUAUUCUCUUCCUGCUUUUCCCUUUAACUCCUUCAAACACUCCAGUGGCACUGAGAGCUACUUCAAAUCACAUGCCAACGCACCAGAGGGUGAACUCAUUAAAUGAGCACAGCACAAGGACACACUAUUUAAUAGGGUUAGUCUACAUUUCAAACAAGAUAUUUACUAUAAAUAUCUGGUUUAUAAGCAAUGAUCUGAAAAGCUUGAGAAACAAGUAAAACAGGUUUGCCAACUCUUAUGAACACUGCUUCUUACAUACUGAACUUGUCACACAUAGAAAGAAAUACAAGGCAUGAAUUCAAACCCCAGGACAGCCAACACAACUUUAGAAAAGACUUGUGCUCUGGCCUACCCAGAGUACUCCUCUAACUCUUAGGGUUACAACAUCCCCGUAUGGCACGGCCACAUUAAGUUUCCUACUCUGAAUAGCUUUCUCUAAUGUCAACCCUGUGGAGUCUUCUCUGUCUUGUCCGAGUUGCUCGAGAUAUGUUCAAUCAUUUUUUAAUACAUAAGCAAACAGUACAAUAUUCAGUUUGAAGCUAAGAGUCUGAAUGCGUGUGAGAAAAUAAAAAAGUCUGAAUGACUUCCUUAGGGUCAUAAUAAAAACUCUAUCAUUCUUAUCGUUUACGCAGUUUUGAAAACACACUUUCCUCUACAGGUUGAAGGUGGACAACUAUUAAGACGGACGAGGAUUCUAACGUCGAGAACUUUGCUCUAGGUAGUGUGCAACUAUAAUCUCUUGUUCUGGUUUAGGCUUAACAUAUAAAUGGAAAGAACAGUUAGGGAAUUUUCUUGGUAUCACUGCAUUUAUUUCCCACUUUAAAGUGAAGAUCCAAUUAUAAAUCCUACUGACUCUAGAACUAUAACAAUAUGACAAUUGACAGAGGGUAAAAAAUAUCUGCAAACUUAUCAGUAAGAUAAGGACAAAAGUGAACUUUUAUUUGGCAGCACAGCAUACACUGGUUCUGAAAAGGUAUGAAAAUCGGAAUCACACGCUUGUAAAAAAUUAGAGAUGUUCCACUCUAGAUUGAUACUACCUCUGAAGCGAGGGAUCUCCAUCACUUUAACUGCUCUGUGAUUACAAGCAACUUGAAACUUUUCUGAGUCCCAGUUUCCUCAACUGUAGAGUUGCUGCUAGGGUUAGAUGAGAACAUAUAUGAAAGUACCUAGAUAAGUAUCUGUGCCAUAACAGGUGUUUCAUAUACACUGCGGUAUUUAUGAAUACUUGGAGAGUAAUAAAGAUGUGUUUAAAUGAGUGACAAAUUCAGAGGAACAAAUUCAGGGUGUCCACCACCCAAAGACUAAGGAUUGUUAAUGCAAAGAUGAAGAAUUGACAGAACAGAUUUUCCCUUUUUAUAUAAGUUUUACAAUUUAAAAAAACUGGUCUGAAUAAAUGUCUAAAAGAGAUCUUUAAGUAGCUAUAAAAUAAAUUUGAAAUGAUGAGAAAAAAAGCACUCUAUCCGUUUCUCAAGAUUUGUUUUUCUUCUUUCUCAGUAUAUCAAAUCCUGGUGUCAUAUAAUCAAUGGCAUUUCUUAGUUUUGAUGAAAUAGUUUUAAAAGAUGAAAAGAUAAUAUAUUUAGCAUAAUGUAUAAUAUUGAGGUUUGUGGAAGGGGCCUUCCUAAGAAAGACAACAAGACCCAGAAGCCACAGAAGAUUACAUAACAGUUUUAAAUAGUUAAAAAACACAUGACGGGGGCUGGCCCGGUGGCACAGCGGUUAAGUUUGCACGUUCCACUUUGGUGGCCCGGAGUUCGCUGGUCUGGAUCCCAGGUGUGGACCUACGCACUGCUUGUCAGGUCAUGCCAUGACAGGUGUCCCACAUAUAAAGUAAAGGAAGAUGGGCACAGAUGUUAGCUCAGGGCCAGUCUUCCUCAGCAAAAAAGAGGAGGAUUGGUGGCAGAUGUCAGCUCAGGGCUAAUCCUCAAAAAAAAAGACUAAAAAAAAUCUGAGAAGGAAAUAUUUGCAACACAUAUAACAUAGAAAGAAAAAAUGUCCAAAGUAUAUAGAGUUCCUAGAAAGCAAUAAGAACAAAUUAACAAAAGAAAUAUGGGCAAAGAAUUUGAAUAUGCAAUCAAAAAAAAUAAAAAUGAAAGAAAAAAGCCAAGAAAGAUAUAAAAAGACAACUUCUCCUUUAGACAAGGAAAUGCAAUUAAAAAAGAGAUACUACUUUGCAACCAUUAGAUCAGCAAAAAUGAACAAGAUGGAUAACGCCCUGGCAAAGAUGUGAGGAAACAGGUGCUCUCUCACACUGUUAAAGAAAAUGUAAACUGGCAGACUCUCUGGAGAUUAACUUAGCAGUAUCUAUAAGUAUUUUAAAUAGACGUGUUCCUUGACACAGCAAUUACACCUUUACACACUGUCUUGUACAAUUAGUUACAUCUAUGCAUCAAAAUAUUUGUAUUUUGCAGGACUGCCUAUAAUAGUAAAAUAUUGGAGCAACCUAAAGAUCUACUAAUAGAGAAGUAAAUACCAUAUGGUACAUUUAUAUAUGGAAUUAAAAAAAUAUGUGGUGUACAGAUACGGCAAGUUCCCCAAAACGCAAUGAAGAAAAGGACAAGAGAGAUAUAGUAUGAUCUCAUGAUAUUAAAAAUCCCACCCAUAUUAGCAGAGUAUAUGUGUGUAAAAACACAAGAGUUUGGAAGGAUCAACACCAUUAACAAUUUCGAGUGUAACAGAAAGAAAGGCUGUGGCAUGUGAAUGUGAAGAGAACAAAGAGGCACUUGCACAUUUUACUCUAAAUAUUACGGAGUGAAUGACCAAAGAUUUAGAAAGUUGGCUGAAAAUGAAGGAUUUGCUAAUACCCAGUCCCCCAGCUGUUUCUCAUUCAUACUCAUAUCUUUACUCGAAAGUAACGCAGCAUUCUGGUUAAUACGGAAUCUUUAGGGGCUACUGACUACAUACAGGAGAUAAUUUUAAGCAAGUGAUUGUUAAAUAUAAAUACGAUACCCAAAACAGUAAUUUUCACAGAUAACUUAUAAUGUCAAAAUUAAGGCAACUGUAUACCUUCAAGGACGUGUCAGACUUUUUCAAUCAAAGAAACUUUACAAAAAUCCUUUUUUUCCUGGGGACUUUGAGCUCUUAUAGAAUGUGCACGAAGAACAAGCAGCAAAGGGGAGUUCUCACACCACUUUUAAAAAACAAAACAAACAGUGCAAACCCUGUUUUUCAAUAUUUUUAGACAGUAGGACAAAUACUGAACACAUAGUUCAAUGGUCCUUAAAGACUCACUGUGAAAUAAGCUAGGGAAGGUCUGAGCUUGUGAACUAGCUGUGAGUGCAUCCGGUCAGUCCCAGGACAGCAGCUGAGCAGCUGGGCAGCUUCUGCGGCCAGGGUUCGGAUUCCUGCAGCAGCUCUGCUCAGCCUCACAGGAAUAGCGUGUAUUACAUUAUAAAAACACCCUCGGGACUGGUUCUUUUCAUAACAUUAAGGAAGCUAAGGCCGAUAUUAAAAAGUAAUUCUAAUUUAUAUACAUAUAAAAAUCCUACAUGUGAAACUGCUGUUGGUUUCAUACUGUACUGGUAGCUUUGUGAAGAACUAAAAGUUAAAGAAAACCACCUUUCACUUGAAUCCAGAUUUUGAUGCUAGCAUAUUUCUAGUUUUAAGAAAAAUCUCAAUAUUAAGCCAUUAACAAUGAAAAGAGAUCAAAUAGUCACUUACUAUAAUUUUGCAUAACAUUUGGCACUGAAUAACACUUUAACCUUUAUCAAAAAGUAGAAUCACUUUUUUAAAAAACUGAAAUGAAUAGAUCUAAAAGGUAAAACUCUCGUAUAUCACAGAUUCCCCACUUUAACCAACAAUUUUCAAUUACUAAAGUGUACAGGAGACAUUUGUUUGGCACCAUAAAACUCUACUAUUCUGAAUCAAUGAAAUGAGAAAGAUAAAAUGAAACAGAGAGAAGUUAAAUAAUUUAUGCCAAAUGCUUAGCAAAUAAUUAUGAGGAGAGAGAUCAAAUCUUCAAACUUGACAGAAGAUAGUUGGAGUUGAAUUUCAGAACGUAUUCAAAUACUACUGAAGAAAUCCAACUUUUUAUUACGUUCUCUACAAUCAAUUAAAUAAGAAAUGGCAGUGAGUAAACAAGGGGGAGAAACGGGGACUUCUAACAUUUACUCAGAUUCCAUAACAUUUUAAACUGACAAGCACAUGUUCAUCAGAAAAAUAUUUCUUUUACAUUUCUAAUAAAUGCACAGUUUUUUUUUUUUUUAAAGAUUUUAUUUUUUCCUUUUUCUCCCCAAAGCCCCCCGGUACAUAGUUGUGUAUUCUUUGUUGUGGGUCCUUCUAGUUGUGGCAUGUGGGACGCUGCCUCAGCGUGGUUUGAUGAGCAGUGCCAUGUCCGCGCCCAGGAUUCGAACUAACGAAACACUGGGCCGCCUGCAGCGGAGCGCGCGAACUUAACCACUCGGCCACGGGGCCAGCCCCAUAAAUGCACAGUUUUUAAAGAAAUCCAGGCAUAUAUUUUCCUAUCAGGGUGGGGGACAGUUCAGUAUAACUUACAAUAUUUCAUUGUAUUAAUUAAAACAAGAUAAAUACUCAAAUUUUCAUUUAACUACAAUUCAACUUUCAUGUUGAGCUUUUUCUAAGUGACAAAGUGCAGCAAAGCAAGGAUCCCAGUAUAUAAUCAGGAAAGUAUGUAACACAAAGAUAUAAACACAUGACCAUUAAACAAAAGAAAAAAGAGCAAUGAAUUAAAAAGCCCUAGGGGCCCAGUGGCACAGUGGUUAAGUUCACAUGCUCUGCUUUGCUGGCCCAGGGUAGGCAGGUUUGGAUCCUGGGCACGUACCUACACAUGGCUCAUCAAGCCAUGCUACGGUGGGGUUCCACAUUCAAAGUAGAGGAAGACUGGCACAGAUGUUAGCUCAGUGACAAUCUUCUUGAAGGAAACAGCAGAAGACUGGGAACAGAUCGUAGCUCCGGGCCAAUCUUUCUCACGAAAAAAAAAAAAAAAAGACCACUAGAAUUAGGAAUAUUAGGAAUUUAACCCAUAGGCCAUUUGGUAGCUUACACCAAAGGAUAUGCUAUUUUUUUCAUACUGGAGAAUAUAAAAGAAAAAUUCUGUAUUUUAUUCACUGAGGUUCAAAGGUAAAUUGAUGGGAAACUUCCAAAUAUGUUAAUUUGACAAAUACAUUUCAUAAAACUACCUCUAAAUAAUGACAGUUCUAUAAUACAUUGCAAUAUUUUUCUUGAAGUAUUAUAAAUUAUAAAAUAAUUUAAGCAUUUGACCAGUUUCAAAUGAAUAUGUGGAACUGAAAUAUACAUUUUGCAUCCAAUAGAACAGCUCCACUUAACAAAUAAUGAAAAGCUAAUCCAUAAAAAUUAUAAUUACAAAAAAACAAAAAUUACUUUAUUGAUCAAACAAAAUACAACUAGAAAGACAGCACCUUUUUUAAGAACAAGUCUCCAGGCCUUUAUUACACAUUUUUAUUUAAUCGUGAAUUUCUCAUAACACGUAGACAUCUUCCAUAGGAGACGCAUCGAAUGUGAAUUCUACUUCUGGAUUCAGGCAUAGACGAGUUUAGGGACACUUGCCAAGCUGCUAGAAUAAAGUGUACUUCUUAAGUAAUUUUGGUUUUGUGGUGGUGGUUCUGUUUUUCACCUAUACAGAACGCGAACGUGUCACCAAAAAAAUGAAAACUUAAAGUUGAUCUCAUGGACUUGAAAAACAAAGUGACAGAAAAUUAAUUUUAAGUAGAGUAUUCUCAAUAAAAGCAUGAAAUAUGAAAGCAUCAUUUAAACCAAACAGUACAUAUCUAGAACUAAUUAUCAAGUGUGAGCUUCUCUUUAUUUUGAAAUGUAUGGCACAACUAUACCCUGGGAAAAAAUAACACGUGACGAACAUGUUUUUAAAAUAAUAACAACAAUAGCUGCCAUUUAUCAAGAGCUUAGUGUGUACCAGGAACUGUUCCAAUACUUGACUGGUAUUGGCUCAUUUUAUCUCCUAACAAUCUUAUUAGGUAGGUACUGUUAUAUCCCAGUUUAGAAGACUGAGGAAACUAAGGCACUGGGAGUGUAAUAACUUCCCUAAAGUAACGAAGCUAGUAAGUGGCUUGGUAAGGACGUGAGUUCAAGAAGCUGGGCUUCAAAAUUCUUUGCCACUGAAUUACAGUGAUAUCAAAGAUUCAAACCAUUUCCAUUAAGCCAGAAAAUUGGUGGCUAAAAUAAAAACAACUUAUGUCCAGUUUAAAAGUCACAGCAGUUAUUUAUUGAACACCUAAAAUAUGCUACAUACUAUGAUGAGGCAUUGUGGCGAGCAUUAAUAACAGUUAGUGUUUCAGCAUUUACUGAGUACUCAAUGUGACAAGCACUGACUAAUGACCCACUUUACAUUCAUCGUCUAGGUCAAUCAUUACAACAAUCCUGUCAAGUGCAUACCAUACCUAUUUUGCAGAUGAGAAAAGCACCGAGGUGUGAAACAGUGGCUUUCCCUCCUCCAAAUCACAUAGUGAAUUCACUGGUAGAGCCCAGACAGGUACAAAUGUAUGACGUCAAAGCACACUGCAAUGCCUACGAAUCUGACCCCACUCAACAAAGGACAUUCUUUUGUCCCAAUACUCAGAGUCUCAUGCCAUGUUAGAGAUACAAUAAAACAAGUGAAAAGAUAUGACAGUAAUUUAAAUUUACAGUAAUUACAUUAAAAAUCAAGCCUCUGCAUACUAUUCUUGCCAAAUCCUCUACUCUAGGUUAACGGCUGAUAUUCCAAGUCAGUUGAAGUAAACAUCCACCUCCCAGCCAAUUCAUGUAGUACAGCUGAGUGUAGGAUGUUUACAUGAACUGAAACUUGGUUUAAAGCAGGACUUACAAAAUCCUUUACUGUGUUUACAUUGGUCCUUUACCUGAGACUCAAAUUUACAUUAAGUACAUAUGAUGAAUUAUUAUUUUAAAAAAGAUAACUUUGUAGAAUCUGUUGAAAAAAGAACAGGAGGUACAGUUAUCCACAUCAAUAAGGCAAGAGUCCACUUGACAGGCAUUCUGAGACAAAGUUUAGAAACCAAGAGAAAAGGCUGAAGCGCCAUUCUUUUCACUGAAGUAAUUUAUGGCAAUAUAUGCAGACAUCCAGUAAAUGUUCCACAGAUCUAAAUGUGGCUGAUUUUACAGCCUCUCAUAUUCCUAUAUCCCUCUCUUCAAAACAACUCAACUUGCAUUUAUAGGAACACAUUUGACGGCCAGUAUGAUGCAUCAAUCACCCAUUCUUUCUCCUGAAGAUUCCUGUUUUGGGUCAAAGACAAAGUUAACAGAACACCUCCGAGGAGCUCAAAGCUUCGCUUUGGCCUUUCUUUUCCUUAUUUCUCAUUUUUCCCCCAUUCCCACAUCUCUCCCCACCUCCUCCCCCACACUCAUAGUUCAGAUCGCUUCACCUCAGGAGCAUCUUUCCCACACUCUCAUCUCUUCCCACCUUCUCCUGCCCCAAGCGGUAAGCCGUCUCACAGAAACCCCUUCCUCCUCUCUGCAUUCCUCUGAUUAAAAAAAUAUUACCAUGAAUACCUCUACUGAGCAUUAAAAGUGACCCUAUCAAGACACUUGCAUCAAAGAAGAGAAAAUCCUCAAAUUUGGAAGUAAAAUUAAAGAUAAGAACCACUGCCAGCAAAUUUAAACAUCUUUGGAAUUUCAGAAGCACCCCAGGACCUUCGGGAACCUCCUAAGUGUCUACCUGGCCUCUUGUCCCCUUCCGGCUACUUGUCCUGAAGCAUCAGUUCUCAAGAUUAAAUAUACACAAAUACUGUUUUUUUUCCCUCUACAAGUACACUGUUUUUCUGUUUCAACUACUCCACCACGAUAAGUUUUUUUGGUCAGCUUUUCCUUGCAAACAGACUCAAAUAAAUUUUGUGAGCUAGACAAUUAAUAUGUACUUCCUCUGGGAGAAAAAUGAGUCCCAGGUUUUCAAUAAACCUUUUUAACAAAGGUUUGGAUUACUCUAUGUUUUUAAGUUGGGAUUUUAUGUAUUUUUCUUCAGUACUAAGUGGGCAUUAUACCAGAGGGAAAGGAACGCACAAUGAGCUCUGUGGCUCUGAAAGCAUGGAGCCAGAACAGCAGCAUCAGCAGCACUGGGGAAUGUGGGGGGAAAAUGCACAUUCUCCAGCCCCACCCUAGUCCUACUGAAUCAGAAACUGUUGCAGGGCCUAGCAAUCUGUGUUUUAAUUAACAAGCCCUCAAACUAAUUGUUUCACCAAAUUUGCUGGAAAGCAAAAGCAACGACAGCAGUGAAUGUCAAAUUAUUAAGAAGUCUGUAAAUAAGCUACAGCUAAGAAAACAGGGAACGUCAGAACACGUAUCAUAUGUCCACCUAUAAUUCUGCAGGCUGUGGCAGAGGCUAUCUGAAAUAACAUGAUUUUGAAAAGUAAUUAAGUUCAGGGCCCGGGCCCAUGGCCUAGUGGUUUAAGUUCAGCACGCUCUGCUUUGGCAGCCUGGGUUAGGUUCCUGGGCACAGGCCUACACCACUCAUUGGGAGCCAUGCUGCGGUGGUGACCUACAUACAAAAGAGAGGAAGAGUAGCAUGGAUGUUAGCUCAGGGUGAAUCUUUCUCAGUGAAAAAAAAAAAAGGAAAAGUAAUUAAGUUAAGAUUGAUACUCACACUCAAAAAACCUUCCUGAAUAUGCACAGUAAAUAAAAGCACAUUCAUUCAGUGAAAGAAGUGAAGUUUUAAGUGGAGGAGUAAAAGGGAGCCAGAGUCAGAAUGCACCAAAUGCAAUGAGGAAGGCAUGCUGGUAUUUCAAGUUCACCAUCCACUUCUGGGUCACCCCAAGCCUCUGACUUUAUGUAGAAGGGACUCAGGCACUGUGACUAAUGAAGACCCAUUCAACAAGGUAAUUUUAACCAAGAAUAUUUGUACACAGCAUAUCUAUUUGGAAAUGAAGCUGAAGACACAAUUUUGUAGUUGUUCAAAAAUCUUGAACGCUAAAGAAUUUUUGAGUUUUCUAUGACCUGUUCGUAAAGACCACACACUUCUCCCUAAAUACCAAGUUAGAGGAUCCGGACACAAGCUGUUAUUUUACUGGCAAAUACUGAUGACCUAACGUUUUAAGGCAUUUGUUCUACAUAAUCAAUUGCUAAAUUUGCAGGUCAAUGGGAAGUUGGUGGUUCUUCAAAAUUAAAACAUAAAGAUGUCAUCUGCGAGUGACUAAAAGGUUGUAGAAGCAAGGGCAUCCAGAAUUAAAGCUGACGUGGUCUCCAAUCCACCUCAUUAGGGCAGAAUAAUAUGGAACAAACGUUACAUAACACAGGCUGUACCAUUCAUCCUGCAGCAUCCAGGAAUAAGUGGACUAGCUGGGCACAGUAUAACAGCUUUAUGCGGAAUGCAUAUCCCUCUUUUAGCUUACAUUUCGGCUAUCAUUUUGAAAAAUCUUUCAAAUCCAGCUGUGCAAAUUAUUAAACUAGGUAGUUUCUAUCCCCCUUACUAAAUUUGAAAUCUAUAUAGCAAACUUUUUCAUAGGAAACAAUGUCACCUGGUCCAAUGAAAUAACCCAAUCACCAGAGAACUCUUUCUACCUUUGCCAGGAAACACUUCUCGGGCUCUCAGAAACGGCUCUAUCCACCUGCUGCUAUCUGGAAUCUGAGGCUCCCAAAGUGCUAAAACAGGGUCACAGAAUAUACAAUAAAUCUGCUUUAUGAAGAAGGAGGAGGAAGGGAUGCCUGAUGCAUGCUCAUCAUCAACCCUGAAAAUUAUACUUACAAGUUGCAAAACCACUUGUGUCGGAAUCAACUAACUACCCUCCCUCCCUCUACUCCCGGCCAAAUAAGUCUUGUAAACUACCACUCUAACAAAGGAGAGUUUAAAAAUCAAUGCUGUAGCACAGAUACAUCUGAAAUGGCUACAUUAUCACCCAAAUGGUUAUUUGCUCACCAGGAUAAAAGAUAAAAGGAAAUAGCAGACACGGAUGCAAGAAAAUAACCUGAAAUACUCAGGAAAACACAGUUAAUAAACUAAGACAAAUAUAACCAAUGGUAAAUGCUGUAAAUAGGCUCAGUGGUUUGAAGUCAUGCAAUUUUUUAGAGAGAAGACUUCUGAUUAGGAGCUGUGCCAUCAUUCAGGAGGAGGAGAACAGGAAGUUGGGGGGUUGGGAGGACGGAGACAAAGUUAACACAGCAUCUCUUCACUCCAGAGAAAACUGAAUGUUCCAGGUUGUAUACUGCCGGGGAGUGGUGGCGGUGGUGGUGAUAAAUUUAUUCUCCAGAACGGCUGUGGAAUUUCUAAAGGAGGAAAUCAGGCCUCUGAACAGUUGGGAAGUUAAACUCUAGCCUACUUGGAAAGGCAAUAAAGAAUAAAAGUUCACUGACAGGGCAAAAACAGAAAUAAGAACCCAUAGUGGAAAAAAAUUUUUUUAAACUAAAUUCUCUAAGGCACAGCAGCAGCAUCUUAAGUCUGGGAAGCUCCGAUGGCAUCUGGUACAGGAUAUCCUGUUAUUAUGACAGCAUCCCACACUAAACUCUAUCAUAAUACAUGCACUCUCACAGAUAGCAGUAAAUGAAGAAAUCUAAAGAUUUCUGGUGUUUUUCCACACCCAUUAGAUAGUCUCCCAAUUCCACUUCUUCGACAUAAUUACACCAAAAUGACGUCUGUGAACAGCCGGUCGCAGCAAACAUCUGACUGAAAGCUUAGCCAUGUCUCACAGCUUCCAGUCGGGGAUGUUUACAACCACAGACUUUCUGAACAACAAAGUAACAGAAGGAAUAGACAGAAAUGUUGCCAGUCACCAGCUUUAUCUAAUGAUUUAUAGGCUUUCUAGGGCUGAAUGCUAUCUGUGACAUCUUGGAACAAAAAUGAUAAAGUUAAUGAUAUUAAUUAGCAAGAGAAUAAGUGGUUCACCAAUAGCAAUUUUUCCUAAACAAACUAAUUAAAAAAGAAGAUAUGCACAAUAAAUUUAUCUUGGCAAAUAUGCAACAUUAAAGAUAUUACUCAAUUAUCCUACAUGAAUAUACAUUUUUUAUUUAAUACAGGCAAAAAUGAGGUUUUCUCUCCCUAAACUGAGUUUCAAAAUUAAUAAGAAACAAUACACUAGAAUGACAACCCUAAUGAUUACAGUGACCAUAUAUCUGCCCCAAACAGUGCCAAUUUAUGCCUGUCGCCCUGAUAUAAUUAAAGUGACUCCUUUCAUUAACAAAAGUGUCUUAAUUUAGACUGCUAAUGCAGUGGGUUUGACCGGCAGUGGAUUUACACUGAGUGAGGCUUAAUACUUUCCUCCCCCACCCCCAGUUGAUUUGCGUUAGGGAUGUACAGCCCAUCCAUGGAAAUGAACAAAGCAAAGGAGAUAAUAAGAGGAACAAACUCAUGACCUUGGCUUUGUUUAUAAAGCAAUACACUAAAACCAUUUUGUUUCCUACACCACUUUCCUGAAAGAGAGAAGGAAGACUAGGUGAAAUACAGUAAUCUGCACUCCAUCAAAACCAAGAUCUGCUUUAAUCUGAAACACGUAAAAUUAUUGUUUCUUAAAAAAAAACCCAAAAUGAUUAAAACAGAGUCUACAAUUGAGUCACAGUGAUUUCAAGAAAGGAACAUACACACACGUACGUACAUACAUAAGAACACAAAUGUACACACACACCCUACAGGCUAACUACUGCAAAUACCAACAGACAAACUUUUAAAAGGCUACUAAUUUUCUAGUAUCAUUUUUUUCCUUUCUAGAAAUUACGGAGUAAGGGAUUUCAGUCAUUGAUAUUUACCCGUGAUAAUAUUUAAAGGUUGCUUUCUGAAACAUAUUUUGGUCUAAAUGUUGUAAAUAACUCUACCCCUUACAGAAAUAAUGCUGGAAAUAACGAGGAAAGUGUAUGUGGUCUCUAUGGAUAUGGACCUUCAUUGUUUCUGAAGAUAAAUACUUAAAAAAAAAAAUCCAGGGGCUAGUUACAACAAAGGCUAUUCACAAGAAAGGCUAUUCAAGCUGUUCUACAAGUGAAAAGGUCCAGAUUUAAAUUAGGGAAAAAAACAGUUAUUUCAUGCCUAGGUAGGCACAUGAUACUUGACUAAUUAGGAUGCUACACAUUAAGAUGCAAUGAACUAGUUAUUACAAUUCUCUCCUUCAAUUUCCCUCUCUGUUUUCAGUUUAAUUUUUUUAAAGAUUGAACAAAAGACAGAAAUUUUUAUCAUAGCUACUAUAUUUAACACACACACAUAUAACAGAUAGAAUCUUUUCUUCAGGGUUAUUAGGGAAUUUUGUCAAUGCCAUUCAUUUGUCUAUGACAUAUUCUUUUUUUUUUUUUGCAGGGAUUCACCCUGAGCUAAUGAGUGUAUGAUGUAUUCUCGAAGGUAGUUGAAAUUAAAUGUACAGCAGUUGAAAAAGAAUAUUAUAAAAUACCUUCUAUAAUUACAAAAAAUCUUCCAGACACUAUCUUUAAUUAUAACAUACAACCUAUAUUUCAUAAAUGUUCUUUAACUUUGCUUUUUUAUUCACAAUCAAAUACACAGUAAGCAGGUCAAGUCUAAUGAGGGUGUAGCUGAGGCUAAAGAUUUACCAUUUGUGUCAUGCUUAAUGAUUUACAUCUUUGUCACAACGUAUUACAUAUUUGAGAGUUACCCUUCUUACCAAUAGUGUCAGCACUUUACUUUUCUGUUUACAAAUUUUUAUGAAAAUAGGCAAAACGCAUUACAUACAUACAAUCUGCUGUCCAGACAGAAAUGGCGAUUACUGAACUGCUGGCUGGAACAGUGCUACCGUGCAGAGACUGGAAAUGUUUGUCAAAUCCAUCUGUCAAGAGCAGUUGAUGAGUAUCCAUAUAUAAUGUAUGCCAUGCCACAUUUUGCCAGAGAUUCUGUCAUAUCACAGAUCUCUCAAGUACAGUGUUGAAAACAAGUUAGAGACCUAUAUACAUCUCUUUCAAUGUGAAAACCCAUAAUGAAGACCUUAUCUCCCCAAAAUAUGAUUAUAAGGAAGUUUUACUGGGUUUGGAAAAUUAUACUAGGAAACAUAAGAAAACAGUUAAGAAGAAAUAUCAUUUUGUAACUUACGAUAAACACACUGGAAAAGAAAUCAAAUCAAGUAAAAUUCUCAGUUGGCCUAGAUUUUGUAUCCUCUAAAAGAAAUCUAUUAAUCUGUUGAAAUUCAGUGGUACCCAGGGAAUCUCUCAGAAAUGGUAUGCCACAAUUUUGACCCUGAACUCUGAAACAGGCAGGACAGCUGGGAGGGUAGGUGCACGGAGCAGUAGCAGGGUGAUUAUGUCACGUCUUAAUGGAGACAGGGUGGUGACACGGAGAGAAUCUUGGCAGAGUGCAAGAAUUCACAAACCAGCAGAAAACAGGCAAUGGAGCAGAAAAUGCCCAUAUUAAAAACAACAACAAGAAAACUACCCCCAAAAUCAGAGAUAUCCCCCAAAAUAUCCUAUUCUUGUUUUCAACCCAUUCAAUAAUACUUAUUUUCUAUUUACUCCAUGUAAAAGAAACAGCAGAGAUAAAAAAAAAAAAGGAAAGAAAAGAAAAUGAUAUCUAAAUCAAUAAACUCAAUUUAUUUGAAAAAUUUAUAAAGUAGCAAGGUACUUAGGAUAUAAAGAUGAAAAGAACAUGCUUCCUGUUCUCUGCAGCUUAUUUACUACUUACUCAUUAUUAUUAACUGCCAUUUGUAACAAAGUGUUUUCAUACAGUUUCUCAUCUUAAGCCUUACAACUAGUUUUAAUAUUAGUAGUAGAGCAGGUAUUACUUCUAUUUUACAAAUGAGGAAUAAGGUACAAAUUGAAGAAGUGACCUGACCAAGCUCAGCCAUUCAGGACUAUUAGCCACUCUCUAGGAACCACCUACCUGAUGACAACCACUGAGGACAAAUAAGCCUGGCAAACUGAAGUCUGCAAGGUUGUCACAAAAGUCAUGGGGAAUAAUUAUGAUUUAAUAAUAAUAAUUAAUAAAUAAUAAAGUAGCCCCAUCUAAUUUCCUGGAUUCUGAAAACAAUCAAGGAGAUGAUGAAGAUGAAAGCAGCGAAAAGUACCACUCAGUUGAAAACUACAUCAUCAUCGUGAUGACACCUUCCGAUUGCAAAGCGUGUUCACACCUUGUGGAUGGAUUUUCAUAGUGAUAACUCAGAGAAGCAGGCAAGGCAGGUUCUAUAACCCCUACUACACCCAGCUUAAAUCAGUUCUGCUAUAAUAAUGAAUAUCUGUUCUCUGGAAGUAGCUAUCCAUUUCAGAUACUCUGUGUGCGAUUCAAAUUGAUUAACAAAUAAAAGUUUGCAUAAGAAACUGACUAUAAACUAUCAAAAUACAGUAGCCCCUCCUUACCCGUGGUUUCACUUUCUGCAAUGUCAACUGCGGUCUGAAAUAAUGCUAUGUCGCAAUGCCUAAAUCAUUCAUCUCACGGCAUAGGCAUUUUAUCAUCUCACAUCAUCACAGGACGAAGGGUGAGUACAGUACAAUAAGACAUUUUGAGAGAGACAGAGACCACAUUCACAUAACUUUUAUUACAGUAUAUUACUAUAAUUGUUUUAUUUCAUUACUGUUGUUAAUCUCCUACUGUGCCUAAUUUACAAAUUAAACUUUAUCAUAGGUAUGUAUGUAUAGGCAAAAACACAGUAUCUACAGGGUUCGCUACUAUCUGCAGUUUCAGGCAUCCACUGGGGGUCAUGGGACGCAUCUUGUGUGGAUAAGGGUGGACUACUGUAUAUACAUACCAUGAAUGACUUUUUCACUAGGCUUUUCUUAACCUCUUCCCCAAUUCUGUCACCUCUGACAGGAUCAUGUGCUUUUUGGUGUGGCGCGAUCACAGCUCAGACACAAACAUCUUUUGGUGCUGUUAGUGGUUAGGCUUGCAAGAUAGAGAAACAGUUCCUUUUCUCCACAAUUCUGAAUAAAACAUCACCAUAUAUUCACAGGCUACACAGCUUGAUCUAAGUCAGUGGUUCUCAGUGUGGUCCCCAAACCAGCAGCACCAGCACCAUGUAGGAAACCGUUAGAAAAGCAAUUCUCAGGCUCCCAGCCUAGACCUAACUGAUCAGGAAUUAGGGGUACACAACCCAGCAAUCUGUGUUUAAUAAGCCUUCCAGGUGAUUCUGAUGCAUGCUAAAUUCAUACAACCACCAAACCAGGCUUCUACCAUAGGUCCAAUAACAUUCCUAAUGUCUAAAUGACAGUAUAGGCCUGCUGUCAGGGUAAGCACCAGCUCUGUGGUGAGGAUGUGUCUGCGUCUGAAAGGGUUCCCUGGGUAAGGGAUUUUCCAUUUUAAAACUGGUACACUCCUGGGCCCAUAAGGACUGUGGUCACCCUAAGCGCCAUUACAGAUCAAAGCUGAAAAGACUAUUCAGUUAAAUGGAGUGGUGAUGUUAUGGACUAAACGCACAAUGCAUUUGGAGUGGAAGGAGAAGGUUACACUAAAACCCCAGGAAGCAUUAAUGCAUACUUUAGUUUAUCAUUUCGGUGUAAUUACACAUUUUCUCCAUUACUAUUCUGAACAAAGAAAGUGUAGCUUCCUAUAAGAUGAGUGCCAUAUAUUUAGAUAAGUGUUGAUUUGUUACGUACUUAUCCAAAAAAAGCCUGCAUAGGAACGCUUCAAACCUGGAGCAGGGGUGGGGCAGUGUUUUGGCAAAAUGAUGAAAUAGUUUUUAUUAAACUAUAGGGCAAUCAGAAAUUUGUAUUUUUUUUUUUUACCAAAUUCUCUGACCAUAAUCAAAACUGAUAGUGACUGAAUGGUAGCCAGCAUUUUUUAGAUUCUUAAAAUACCACCCACUGAAAGUCCUAGGUCAUAAAUGCAGUAAAAUCAGUCACCAACAACACCGAGCUGACUCUGAGUGUUAAGACCACUUGAAUCAGGGUCAGCUGAGCAGGUCUGUGGCCACACAACACUCAAGGAACUGAAAAGCAGAGUCUCUUCAGCCAACAGGGUGUGCAGAGGCUCCAAACUCUGCUUUACAGCCUUUAGUAAACACUGGAACUGCACCCAAAACAAAACAGGUCAUGAGUAUAGAUCGAGUGCUCUCCAUGAUCCGUACAGACUGCAAGCCAAAGUGCAACAUUCAAAGUUUCCCAUAAUCCUGGCGGGUAGCGCCUAUAAAUGCAUCAUGAUAAUGCAAUCCACAUUUCAACAAGUAUGCUUAAUUUUCAAAAUCCACAUCUGGAGGAAAAUUGCCAACUUCAGCCUCAAUACAGAAGCACAAGGUGACUUUCAGUAAGUAAGGGUUUAAGAAACCUUAAUUGUGAAACUUAGUGACAGAAUCUAUAUAUACACACGUACACGUGCAUCUCUAUAGAUAAACUUAGUGACAGAAUCUAUAUAUACAUGUACACGUGCAUCUCUAUAGAUAAACUUAGUGACAGAAUCUAUAUAUACACGUACACGUGCAUCUCUAUAGAUAAACUUAGUGACAGAAUCUAUAUAUACACGUACACGUGCAUCUCUA
ensembl:lncRNA